AUGGCUCUGUCUCAGGGGCCCAAGAAGAACUACCGCUGCGACCGCUCGCUGCAGCAGUUCUAUACGGGCGGGCCGUUCGCCGUCGGGCGCGCCCCCCGCGGCGAAGGCGAGGGAGAGGGCGAGGGCGACGCCGAGGCGUUCUUCGCGUGCGCCUGCGGCAGCGAGCUGCGCGUGGUGUCGGCCGCCGACGCCUCCGUCAUAGGGGAGCCCAUCGACGGCGACUCCGAGGCCGUCACGGGAAUCGCUCUCUCCCCCGACUCCCGCCUCCUCUUCGCCGCUGGCCACAGCAAGCUUAUUAGGGUCUGGGACCUCGCGUCCCGCACCUGCAUCCGCAGCUGGAAGGGACAUGAUGGUCCUGUUAUGGCCAUGGCAUGCCAUGCCUCUGGUGGGUUGCUUGCAACUGCUGGAGCAGACAAGAAGGUGUGCGUGUGGGAUGUGGAUGGUGGAUUUUGCACACAUUUCUUUAGAGGUCAUACAGGUGUUGUGACAACCAUAAUGUUCCACAGAGAUCCAAAGCGCCUUCUGUUAUUUUCAGGAAGUGAUGAUGGCACAGUGCGAGUUUGGAACCUUGAAAGCAAAAAAUGCAUUGCUGUGCUUAACGCACAUUUUUCAACAGUGACUUCGUUUGCAUUAUCAGAAGACGGGCUAACAUUGCUCAGUGCAGGGAGGGAUAAGGUUGUGAAUGUGUGGGAUCUUCGGAAGUACGCCUCAAAGAAGACAAUACCAGCAUAUGAAAUGAUAGAAGGUGUUUCCUUCAUUGGACCAGGGAGCGGCAUCUUGGCUUGUUUGGGUGUCGAAGCGGCAAAGUUGAAGGAAAAAACGGAUGGUUAUUUUCUUACGGUUGGUGAACGUGGAAUCGUGCGCAUAUGGUGCCUGGAAAGCGCUGUCUGCGUGUUUGAGCAGCAGUCAUCUGAUGUAACCAUCAACUCAGAAAAUGAGGAAUCUAGAAGGGGCUUUACAGCUACUACUAUGUUGCCAGAUGAUCAAGGAAUUCUAUGUGUCACUGCUGAUCAACAAUUUUUGUUCUAUUCUUGUACAAGAACUGAUGAAGGGACUUUCCAGUUGAACCUAUAUAAACGCCUGAUAGGUUACAAUGAUGAGAUUCUUGAUUUGAAGUUUGUUGGGGAAGAGGAACAAUAUCUUGCUGUGGCCACUAACUUGGAGCAGGUCCGUGUUUAUGACGUUGCAUCAAUGUCUUGUUCUUAUGUGCUGGCGGGCCACACUGAAAUUGUUGUUUGCCUUGAUACUUGUGUCUCUACUUCUGGGAAGACACUUGUUGUAACUGGGAGCAAAGAUAAUACUGUAAGAUUGUGGGAUAUGGAAAAGAGAAGCUGUAUUGGUACUGGUAAAGGCCAUCUAGGAGCUAUUGGUUGUGUUGCUUUCUCAAAGAAGUCGAAGAACUUCUUUGUUAGUGGCAGCAGUGACCGAACCAUCAAGGUUUGGACCUGGGAUGAUACACUCAUUGAUGCUGGCGGUGAAGUUCCUCUCAAAGCAAAGGCUGGUGUAGCUGCACAUGAUAAAGAUAUUAAUUCUCUGUCUGUCUCACCUAAUGAUGGCCUUGUUUGCAGUGGUUCUGAGGACCGAACUGCGAGCAUAUGGAAACUCCCUAACCUGGUGUCCUCUGUUGUCCUUAAAGGGCAUAAAAGGGGCAUUUGGUCAGUUGAGUUUUCUCCUGUUGAACAAUGUGUCAUAACAUCAUCUGGCGACAAAACUGUCAAAAUAUGGCAUGUUGCUGAUGGCUCAUGCCUAAAGACAUUUGAGGGUCAUACGUCAAGUGUUUUAAGAGCUUCAUUCCUUUCACGUGGAACUCAGUUUGUUUCUUGUGGAAGUGAUGGUCUAGUGAAGCUAUGGACGAUAAAAACGAAUGAGUGCAUUGCUACGUAUGACAAGCACGAUGGGAAGGUUUGGGCAUUGGCUAUUGGCAAGAAAACUGAAAUGCUUGCUACUGGUGGAACUGAUUCUGAUCUUAACCUCUGGCACGAUUGCACUAUGGAAGAUAAGCAGGAAGAUUUCCUUAAGAAGGAGGAGGAAGUUUUAAGAGGGCAGGAAUUGGAAAAUGCAGUGUCAGAUUCUGACUAUACAAGAGCAAUACAGCUCGCAUUUGAGCUUAGAAGACCACGCAGGCUUCUUGAGUUAUUCUCACAACUUUGCAGGAAAGCUGAUCCAGAGGACCCUAUAGAAAAAGCCCUUCUUGGUCUCCCAAAGGAAGGGCUUCGCGUGCUUCUUGAGUAUAUACGUGAAUGGAAUACAAAGCCCAAGUUUUGUCAUGUUGCACAGUUUGUGCUUUUUCGGGUGUUGAGGAGCUUGCCUCCCACUGAUAUCCUGGAGAUAAAAGGCAUCAGUGAGCUCCUCGAGGGCCUCAUUCCAUAUUCUCAAAGACACUUCAGCAGAGUCGAUAGACUAGUACGCAGCACAUUUUUGUUGGACUACACCUUGACCCGGAUGUCUGUCGUAGACCCAGACGUAGAUGCGGGCACAACCAAAGAUGUUACAAACGACUCGUCAAUGGACAAUGUUGAGAUCACUCCAGCAGAGCCUGCAUUAGAGACCCCGGAAAAGCCGGGCAAGAAGAGAAAAUCCAGCAAAACAAGCCAAUCGAGCAAGAAAAGUAGUAAGAAGGUGAAGGCUUCUUCAAACGCUGUUUCUGUCGAGGCGUAA
rnacentral:rRNA from 1 species